UGAGAAUCUCAGAAUAACCACCUCAGCUGAAUUUAUUGUCUACUGUUGAUGUAACCUGGGUCACAAAGAGUUAACAAUCUCAGCCAAUCAGAGCGCAGGUCUGCAGCGCUGCAUUCGAGCUAGACACACGCUGGUAACGCUGGGUGACACUGCAGAGAUAGAGGAGCUGCCGCUGAAUGCUUGUAGAUUUCUGUGUGAGAGACCCUGCUCACUCGAACCUGCCGAGUGACACAGAGACAUUCCCGAACUGUGCAUGCAGGUCAGGUUUUCUGAGACGGUUUAAAAUUGAUGGCGAGCCAACCCAGAAGAGACCUCUAGAUCCCUGGAUUGAAGAUCCCUAAGUCGAGGAGCAAAAACUGUGAGCCUUUCCCCUCUCCUGCCACAGCGGUAGGGUAAACAUCAUAACCAGCACCACUCUUGCACUCAGCCCCUGCCCAUUUGCACAGCCCCAAACCCCAGACUUUGACUUUACUUUUUUUGACUUGACUUGGAAAAGACACUUUACCCCAGGGGUGUCAAACUCAUUUCAGUUCAGGGGCCACAAACAG